AGUGGGGAAUAUUGCACAAUGGGGGAAACCCUGAUGCAGCGACGCCGCGUGGAGGAAGAAGGUCUUCGGAUUGUAAACUCCUGUUGUUGGGGAAGAUAAUGACGGUACCCAACAAGGAAGUGACGGCUAACUACGUGCCAGCAGCCGCGGUAAAACGUAGGUCACAAGCGUUGUCCGGAAUUACUGGGUGUAAAGGGAGCGCAGGCGGGAAGACAAGUUGGAAGUGAAAUCUAUGGGCUCAACCCAUAAACUGCUUUCAAAACUGUUUUUCUUGAGUAGUGCAGAGGUAGGCGGAAUUCCCGGUGUAGCGGUGGAAUGCGUAGAUAUCGGGAGGAACACCAGUGGCGAAGGCGGCCUACUGGGCACCAACUGACGCUGAGGCUCGAAAGCAUGGGUAGCAAACAGGAUUAGAUACCCUGGUAGUCCAUGCCGUAAACGAUGAUUACUAGGUGUUGGGGGAUUGACCCCCUCAGUGCCGCAGUUAACACAAUAAGUAAUCCACCUGGGGAGUACGACCGCAAGGUUGAAACUCAAAGGAAUUGACGGGGGCCCGCACAAGCAGUGGAGUAUGUGGUUUAAUUCGAAGCAACGCGAAGAACCUUACCAGGUCUUGACAUCCGAUGCAUAGCGCAGAGAUGCGUGAAGUCCUUCGGGACAUCGAGACAGGUGGUGCAUGGUUGUCGUCAGCUCGUGUCGUGAGAUGUUGGGUUAAGUCCCGCAACGAGCGCAACCC
rnacentral:rRNA from 1 species